GACGAACGCUGGCGGCGUGCCUAACACAUGCAAGUCGAACGAGACCUUCCGGCUUCGUCGCGCACCGGUGCGUGCACCCUGGUACCCUGCCCUUUGGUUCGGAGUAUCUCCCCGCCAGGGGUCCUAAUACCCCUUAUUCUCUUCCCACCUAAGAUCUCGCGCCGUUGAGUGGGCGCGCGUUGGAUUAGCUCGUUGGUAGGGUAAAAGCCUGCCAACGCGACGAUCCCGAGCUGGUCGGAGAGGAUGACUAGCCCGACUGGGACUGAGGCACGGCCCAGACUCCGACGGGAGGCAGCAGUAGGGAAUAUUGGACAAGGGGCGAAAGCGUGAUCCAGCAAUGCCGCGGGAGUGAUGAAGGCCUUAGGGUUGGAAAGCUCCUUGACCCGGGAUGAUAAUGACAGUACCGGGAGAAUAAGCACCGGCUAACUACGUG
rnacentral:rRNA from 1 species